rnacentral:rRNA from 1 species
GUGGGGAAUUUUGGACAAUGGGCGCAAGCCUGAUCCAGCCAUGCCGCGUGAGUGAAGAAGGCCUUCGGGUUGUAAAGCUCUUUCGGCCGGGAAGAAAUCGUGGUCUCUAACAUAGGCCAUGGAUGACGGUACCGGACUAAGAAGCACCGGCUAACUACGUGCCAGCAGCCGCGGUAAUACGUAGGGUGCGAGCGUUAAUCGGAAUUACUGGGCGUAAAGCGUGCGCAGGCGGUUUUGUAAGACAGAUGUGAAAUCCCCGGGCUUAACCUGGGAACUGCGUUUGUGACUGCAAGGCUAGAGUACGGCAGAGGGGGGUGGAAUUCCUGGUGUAGCAGUGAAAUGCGUAGAGAUCAGGAGGAACACCGAUGGCGAAGGCAGCCCCCUGGGCCUGUACUGACGCUCAUGCACGAAAGCGUGGGGAGCAAACAGGAUUAGAAACCCUGGUAGUCC